CCUACGGGUGGCUGCAGUGAGGAAUAUUGGUCAAUGGACGAGAGUCUGAACCAGCCAAGUAGCGUGAAGGAUGACUGCCCUACGGGUUGUAAACUUCUUUUAUAUGGGAAUAAAAUUUUCCACGUGUCGGAUUUUGUAUGUACCCUAUGAAUAAGGCUUGGCUAACUCCGUUCCAGCAGCCGCGGUAAUACGGAGGAUCCGAGCGUUAUCCGGGUUUAUUGGGUUUAAAGGGAGCGUAGGUGGAGUGUUAAGUCAGUUGUGAAAGUUUGCGGCUCAACCGUAAAAUUGCAGUUGAAACUGGCAGUCUUGAGUACAGUAGAGGUGGGCGGAAUUCGUGGUGUAGCGGUGAAAUGCUUAGAUAUCACGAAGAACUCCGAUUGCGAAGGCAGUUCACUGGACUGCAACUGACACUGAGGCUCGAAAGUGUGGGUAUCAAACAGGAUUAGAUACCCCUGUAGUC
rnacentral:rRNA from 1 species